rnacentral:lncRNA from 1 species
GCCAAAGUAAUCAUUACAUUCUGGAACUUAGGAGUCGUACUUGGUCUCCGAUGAGGAAGGCAUUAACUGUGAUUUCUGUCACAUGCUGAUUCAAAACUGUGGACUAUCUUGCAAAAAAUACAAGAAGACAUUGAAAGUUUUCAUGAGUGCCUACCACCUAAUCUCAAACACUAUCAUUCAUAUGUGCCUCAUUGAGCAAAUCUUUAUUGAGGAUCUAUAUGCCAGACAAUGUAGGCAUUGUUCCUAA